GGUUGUGGAGCAGCACUGAGGGCUGAUGGGAAUUCAGUCUUUGGUGCUGGUGAAGGUGUUGUGUGGAUGAACAAAGUCGAGUGCAGAGGGAAUGAGAUUCACCUGUGGGACUGUCCUCUCUCCCUGAAAAACAACACUUACUGCUCCCGCAAAGAGCACGCUGGACUUACCUGUGCAGGUCAUAGCCAAACAAAAAAGGGAGAUCAGGAGGAGGAUGAUAACGUGAAGAACACAAUGAAGAUGAGAAAAACCUAGACUAUGAUGAUAUGGGGGAGGAGUCAAACAAAGAAGGAGGGGCCUUAUGACCACACCUACUAUCUCUUCCAUUAAAAUCAUAUCACAGAUACUGGAGCUACUGGGACUUUCUUAUAUUGCUACUAAUGCAUCAAUGGCUUUUUGUUAUUUCAUUUUUAUUUUUUAAUAAAAAAUGUUCAUGCUUUACAAAAUUUGGUAACAACAAAUUUUAGUAUUUGUGCAUUUAAGUGCAUUUCACCCUUUUUUUAUU